CAAGGUACCUGUUAGGUAAACAUUUAGUCUAAAGGUUUGUCACUCAGGAGACAGAUUCAUGUAAGAAUCCUGCUCUAUUUUUUUUUUUUUUUUGAAAACUAAAAGAUCAAGCAGAUUAAAAAUAUGCAUGCUGAACUCAGAACACCUUGAAAACUGAUGUCUUAGGACUAGAAAAGGGUACAGGAAACGACAUUCCUCUUUUCUUUCUAGUUCCAAAGUGUUAGACUGCAAUGCCCGGAUCAGCACUUGGAGAUGGUAGUGAAGGAGAAAGGAGACUCUUGGAUGUCGGCUGAUGAAGCCCCUGUGCCAAGAGAACUUGCCUACACAAGCCAUCUACCAGAGAGACUUGGUCCUGGUGCCUCAGAAAAGCCUCUUCCAGCAGGCCAGGUCAGUGCUGUUCCCAGGUUCCCCUCACCGGAUUUCACCAUUGUGGGAAAAGACCCCCUGUCCAGCACUGAGCAGUCAUCCCACUUCAACUGCCAGGCUGAAAUUAAUCCAAGAUCACCACUUUAUACCUGGGACAGGAAGAAACUAGAGCUCACCUCGUGGCUCCAAUACCUGGCCUUGGCUGGGCUGCAACUGACCUUGGCUGUUCCCAGAGUAAUGGCUGAGCCAUUACCUCCCCUUCAACUCAUGGAGCAUCAGGAAGCCAGCCAGCCUUGCCUCCCCUUUCCCGUCAGGGGAACCGUGAUGGGCUUAAAAUGAGUCACCGAAUGCAUUACUCCUCUAUUGAGCCUCAAAAGCCAGCCUGCCUUUCCAACCUUCGAUUCCUCCCUGGCAAGCCUUCAGGUCCUGAGCACCUUCCUGAGAUUGUACCCAGGCAAAAGGACCUUUCGGGACAAGAUUCUGAUCAAUUCCACCCCUAGGCCCCAGGUAGCAAUUGUAGAUCAUCAGGCUUCUUUUUCAGGAUCCAUUAAGGUUAGCAGCAUACUACCAAGAAGCCGCAUGCACUCUGCUUACCAGACCAAGGACCUGCCUUUGUCAAGGAGGGUGCUCCUUGGUUCCACCCUGCCUUAGUCCCUGGGUCUCUGCUCCACUGAUUGAUAAGGGCAGGGAUAUCCCAGACACAAAUGCCCAAGCAAAUGAAAAACCUCAAAGAAUUUUCUUUCAUCUGGAGAAUUUUGAAAAAAAAAUUUAUUUUUUUAUAAUUUUUAAAGGAAUUACUGCUUCUUGUGACAUCAAAACCAUGUGUCUCAUUUUACAUGUCAUUUUUUAAUUUUACAUAGUGAGGAGUCUGGUUUUUUUUUUUCCUUUUUAAAUAGAUAUUAACUGGGAUUUUUUUUCUUUAAAAUCAACUAGAUUGAUUCCAUUGCUCCCACAGGCAGUGACUACUCUGAAUCUGAGCCUGGAAUCUUAAACUGCUGGCAGAGGCUCUGCCAAUUCUGAAACUUCCACACCAGCUAUCAGACCGCUGUUGAUCAAACACUUAGCCUCGGGGCUCAUCACUCAGAAGAUCCUGCACUCAAUCCAGAACUCUCCAAUUACCACAGGGUAACUUUUGGGGGAACACAAAGCCUCGGGGAGCUCCUCUGAUCCCCUAGGAUGUAUGAGGCCUGCAAAAUCAUUUGCUAAGGCAACCAUAGGCAAUGAUAAUCUGAAAGUUAGGUAUAAUCAGUCUCCUACUGCUUGAGUUUUUGUAUGGCCUGUGAGUGAUUGUCAAUUGAUGUUGGCAGAAAAAAGGUCCCACCUCAGUCCUAGAGGGAGAGAGAUAAAAAAGUAGAGAUCUCACUGGAAUGGGUAUGGAGAUCAUGUCUUUCUUCGCUUUUUUCAGUGUGAUAGUGUCAAGGAUACCACAAAAUGUUGAGAGUCCCUGGAUCAUUGUCACAGGUAUCAUGAAUUUGCAAGCUCAAAUGUGGGUCUCCCAAGUUAGUAAACAACAUUUAUUUACAUGAUAAACAGGGGGCUGAGUUCUAAAAAAAUUUAGCAAUGAGCCAGGAGCAAGCAGGUAAAUUUCUAAGGAAAAAUGAGAGAAAUCCAGUGCUGAAUUCAUGUCACUGGUAUGCUAAUUUAAUGACUUAAACAUAAAGCAAUCCUACUCAAAUUCUUACUUUGAAGGCAAAUGUGGUACCCAUAUAGUUCCCUGAAAAAAGCUAUCAUAGUGGCCCCCCAUAAAUGUGUUUUUAGGCUUGAAAGGUCACUAGAUCAAAUGGCUGGCAUUCAAUUUUGUACUUUGUUUUGCUUUAACUUUAGUCACCUUAUUAUUGAUUCUCCUUAGCUUCCACAACUCCAUUCUCAGCAACCAGCAGGUUGGUUAUCUUGAUCAGUAGCAUUCUUUUGGCCUGCAAAGAUUAUCUGAGGAAGAUCACACUAAAUACAACAACUAUAUUUAGAUAGUUUGGGGUCUAUAGACAUUAUCCCCAGCAUCUGGCAGCACUAGGUAUCUUAAGAGUCUCUAAUACCUGGGGUUUUCAUGAAAAUUGCAUUAGCAUACCAUUUCUCAUAAUUGCACCACAUCAGAAAUCUUCCAUCAUUUCCUGAGUCAAAGAUUAGGGACCCAAAUUCAUUUGGGGCAAAGGGUGAAUGGUCUCAUUUUCUGGAGUCUUCAACUACUUAGUUGAAGAAUUUAUAGAAUUGUUCUUGCCUAGCAACAUCCAGGUUAAUAGGGGAGAUGUGUAACUUAAAUAGGGUGAUAGCAGUUUUCAUGGGGUGCUGGGGGUCUGCAGCAGGUAGAAGAUGGUAUACCAUUGUUCAAGCAGCUGGAAGUUCAUGUCCUGGAGCCUAGAAGAAAUAAAGCUCACAAGUUGGUAAAAAAAAAAUGCAGGAACCAAAAAUGAACAGGAAAAGAAUAAUUAAAAUUGGAGGAAGUAUGGGGGUCAAUAAAGAAGUAGCUAGAGCCCCAUCCAGAGGAAGACUUGGAGAGAGGGAGAUGAGAUUUUUAUGAAUAUCUCACAUGCAUCUGGUCUUUUCUAAAUUAAUGCUAUAGUGUUAGAUGAAGCAAUUAAGCUGGAAAAAGUGAAAAGUGACAGGAGAAAGGCAAAGGGAAGUAAAGGAGGACACAAACAAAUUUCUUUUUCCUACAAUAAGUUUCCAAUGUUAAGAAGAAUCCUGGAACAGUAGUUUAUGGUCUUCUCUAAAUUCACAGGAAGAGCCAGUAAGGUCUGGAUAAGAAGAAGUAAAAGAGGGAGUACAUUGGAUUCUAGAAACAUGAAUCCAGCUGAGAAGGCUUCUGAGAUUAACGGCAGAAUGAUUAAAAUGUCCUCGUGUGAUUGUUUCUAUUGGUGCCCAGCAGGCCAGGAAUUUGAAAUUAAACUUCCACAUAAGCUUUUUGAGGUUCACAAAAACAGAAAGGAUUUUUGUGCAUUGGGAAACAACGAAGUGGUGAUUGGGACUGAAAUAUCUAGUUGAAAUAUAGGGAAUAUCACAAACUAAAUUAAGUGCUGCUUAAUUUUAAAACAACUUGUAAAAUUGGUGUGUGUGUGUGUAUAUAUAUAUAUAUAUAUUUAGGGUGUGUAUAUAUAUAUAUUUGUGUGUGUGUGUGUGUGUGUGUGUGUGUGUGUGUGUUAAAACUGGAAACUGGAUUAUAAAUUGCAGGAGCUUUCUACCCAUUUUGGUCAUAUGUUAUAUUCUAUCUGAAAUUGAAGAAUUGUCCUGUUUUCUCCCUAAAUCAAUAAGGAAACUCCCAGAGUUGUCAUAACUAGGGAAAGAAAAAUCCUACCAGUGGCAUCUAUGAGAUUUGUGCUUACUCACUGACAAAUAAUGGGUUCUCUCUAAGAUUGUACAACUAAGAUUUGGUUUUCUCCAGGAACUUGAAUUAAAAUAUAAACUGAAAAACUAAAAGAAUUUGAGAAAUGUAUUAUUUUAUCAGUUUUCUUAACCCUAUUAUCCAAUAUUUUUGAAUGUAAUUUAGUGAAUUAGAUAUUUGCACCUUUGCUUGUAAGUUUAGAGGAAAUUAUAGCUAAAACAAUUUGGUUAGCAUUUAUGAACAUUGUAAGAUUGCUAGUUAAGUUAUUUGGAAUUACUUCAUAAUGAUAUAAUCUAAAAUUGAUGAUGGAAAAGGAGGGGACAAGUUAAACCCUUGUCUACUUCCUUAGGAUUUGGUCAAGUACAUCAGAGGUAGUCUAUUUCCCUGCCACUUACACAGAAUAGGGGGAAGCAUCCAAGAGCACAGUCCAUAGCAUCUCCAUGGAUAGAUAUGGUGAAAGGGGAAGAGAAGCAAGGUCAGCCCCUUCUCAAGGGUCUAUGUUGAUUCCCCUGAAUUUGUAUACUUGUUUCUUUAAACCCUCUUUAGAGAGAAUUUGUUCUGAUUAAAUUUCCAAAGAAGAAAUUAAUUUAGUGAGAAUAUACAGGUCUGCUUAUUAUUUUAGAAGGUAUUUUUAAAGGCUGAGAUUUAUAUCAGAAUGAGUUUAAAGUCAAGGGGAAAAAAGAAAAGAAAAAUAAGUGAAAGACGUUUAGUGAAAUCUCUUAUGUGUUUGAGGACUGGUAAGCUUUGUUAACUGUCAUGAGACUUAAUUUAUUGUUUAAAGGGAUUCUGGGAGUAGUAGUCUUUGUCUUUUUGAACAUGGGUAAUGCAUCAACAUUUAUUUGUUUAUUAUUUUUUAUUAAAGCUUUUUAUUUUUCAAAACAUAUGCAUGGACAAUUCUUCAACAUUAGCCCUUGCAAAAUUUUGUGUUCCACUUCCCUCUCAUCCCCCACACCCUCCCCUAGAUGGCAAGUAGUCCAAUAUAUGUUAAACAUGGUAGAAAUAUAUGUUAAAUACAAUAUAUGCAUACAUAUUUAUACAAUUAUUAUGCUAUAUAAGAAAAAUCAAACAAGUAAAAAAAGGGAAGCAAAAUAAAAUGCAAGCAAAAAGCAACAAAAUGAGUAAAAAUGCUAUGUUGUGAACCUCCACUCAGUUCCCAUACUCCUCUCUCUGGAUGUAGAUGACUCUCUUUA
ensembl:lncRNA